rnacentral:rRNA from 1 species
UACGGAGGGGGCGAGCGUUGUCCGAAGUUACUGGGCGUAAAGGGCGCGUAGGUGGCCCGGUCAGUUCGUGGUGAAAGCGCGGGGCUCAACCCUGCGUCGGCCAUGAAUACUGCCGCGGCUGGAGCACUGUAGAGGCAGGCGGAAUUCCGGGUGUAGCGGUGGAAUGCGUAGAGAUCCGGAAGAACACCGGUGGCGAAGGCGGCCUGCUGGGCAGUUGCUGACACUGAGGCGCGACAGCGUGGGGAGCAAACAGG